CAAAAUGUGAUUCGUAUAUGAGUGCAAAGUCUAGAAUUUUACGCAAAAUAGCAAAUAGCCACUGUCAUGUUUCACAUAACCAUGUGUUCGUCGUGUAGUAUACAUCUUCAGGCGGGAGACUGAAAAAUUUGCAUUUUACUUCCGCAAAUUGUGACGUAACGAGUAACUUGCAAAGUUUCCUGAUGUGCUAAUCGCGAUUUUUGACCUAAUUUCUAUGUCUAACAACUCCAAGUUUUGCUCCGGUAAAAGUCCACGACAGGAUCAAUAUUAGAGAUGACAUGAACCCUUACCGUUAGGUAUAUCGACUUUUGCGAGUAGAGAGGUGCAUAUUCUAUUGAGUCUUUCCCUAUCGCAAGCCGCAAGUCUCACUAUGACAAAAUUCAAUUUUUUGUUCAUUUUCGGAUUUUCUUACGGAACCCUCUCCACUAUCAAGGCCCAGUAAUUCUGAUGAUGUCUUAGAUUGUUCUAUAUCACCGCUUUUGACGUCAUCGAAAAUAUAAAACGCCGCUCAUGAAAUUCUUUCGAUCUUUCCAUCUAGAACUGUGCGUUGCUACAUACCUUUCAUUCAUUUUGCUUCAUUGUAUUCUUCAAGUUUAGACUAAUACUCACUGCCCACCGAACGACGACUAUUCCGAACACAACACUGAGCUAUCGUACAAUACUGAGCUAAAUAAAAUAUUAAAAUCCACAUAAUUUUUCCCUUUCUUUUCAUUUAAAUAAGGGGAAAAUUGCAGGAACGUGCGACCUGACAAACCGUCUUCACAUAAAACACCGAAAAAUGAAAAAAGAAAAAAAAUUGACACAGGAAAACUAUUGACACAAAAAAAAAAAAAAAAAAAAAAAAAAAAAAAAUUAUAACAAAAAUAUUUGUAUGUGUCGAUGAUUACGAGUAACAAAUUGAUGGAGAAAUGGAAAAAUAACCAUCAACAGCGGAAAAAAUGGGGAUUAGAAAAAAGAAGGAAAACGCAUUUGCGAAGUUGACGAAUAUUAUCUCACCAAUGAGAGCAAAAAGCACGAAAAAAUUGUGUAACACAGAAAAACCAUUGGUGAUAAAAAAAAAAACCAAUUGAUAGCAAAAAGACCUGCAUCGAUAAUUCAGGAAAAAAUUGAUUGAAAAAAUUGAGAAAUAACCACCAAAGGCAAGAAAAUCGCGGAUUGGAAAAAGGAGGAAAACGCAAUGAUUAUGGAUAAAACAAAACCAUUAAUAAAGAUUAUAAAGGAAUACCAGUGAUGGCAAAAAUAUUGAUUUACAAAAAAAAAAAAAAAAAAAAAAAAAAAAAAAAAAAAAAAAA